GGACACUCACACUGUAACCCAGCAGCGGGAGGCUGGCCAGGGGGUAGUCAUCCUGAAAGGACAGGAACACAAGCUUGUACAGAGGGACCCGUGAGUGAAGGGAUUUUCCACAGAGAAGUUGGCGGAAGACACAGGCGCAAAGGCUGCUCUCCAUUGCCACUGUGCCCGUGCUGCAGUGACGUGCACACACCUGGAAGCCUCUGUGGAACUCGUAGAUCGGAUCGAUGUUGGAGAAAAGCAGAGUCAUCAGAGCUGCGGGCAUGGCAUCCUCCCUGACCACUGCACUACGGAACCACUGUGGGAGGAACAUGGCAUGACAGGAGGCACAGCCUUCAGUGGGGACUGAGAGACCACAGGACACCCAGCACAGACCCUCCCCUCCACUCACUGCCUAGGAGUAUGGCUCAAAUCAGUUCUCCGGCCAUCCUCUUUGCUGACCACUCAGUUUUCAAAUCUAGCAAAGCAAUUUUAGGAGAGCUUCAUCAUAUACAUUCCCAGCUUUACUCACCUGCCUUACACAUUGUGCCUUAAGGCAGAUAUAUUUAACAAAAUUUACACAUGUAGGUCUUGUGGUUGUCAAGAGAUAUUUUUCAGGACAGAGCUUCUCUCUAUG